UUAUUUUGAUCAGCCAAUAUUAUGUGUAUCAAUAGAACAAGGAUAUAUACAGAAGAAACAGUCUUUGUAAGUCAAGACCCCAAAAUUUUGUUGACUGUCACCCUACGGUUGGAUGGACAACACUCAGAUUGUAAGCAAGUUCGCACUUCAUACAUCAAGGUCAUACAAUUAAAUAUUGCAUAUAUGGCAUAAUUUCUUCCAUUACCUCCAAUUAAAAAAUAGAAUAAGGUGUUUCUCAAAUUGGAAACUUGCAUAACAUCAGUAUGUCGUGGAGAGAAUGGCAAGGCUUCCACCAUGAUGGACCAUGUUGCCUUGCCCAUACUUUUCAACGAUACAAUAAUCAGUAAGCUUGUAAAUAAAUGGAAAUGAAAGCAAGCAUAAAACUAUAGAUAUAAAAUGGACUAAAACAAGUUACGUCAUAGAAGUUUUCCCUUUCCUUACGAAAUACAAGAUACUCCAACCAGUAGCAAGUAAUAACACAAAAGAGAAAAAUACUGAGCUGGAAGGUCCAUUUUCUUUUAUAAUUGUAUAUGUCCAUCUGCACAUCGAGUUGAUUUAUACUCGCUACUGAACUAUGAAUAUACUCCAAAGCACAUGGAGUAUGAAUAUAGUUCAAAACACGUAUGAAAGUUAAGCCAUGAUCAGGAGCAGCAGCUGGCCUUCACUGAUUGGAGGAAUGGCAGAUUGACAGUAAUCUGAAACAUGAUUUUGCAGGAAACGGGAACAAACAUCAUUGUAAGGAUGAACAAAAGCCAAGCAGCUGGAUGGAAAACUAUGGUUUCGCGUAGUACACUACUUCAUGGCAAGUCCACAAUUGCCGAAUCUUAAUUCUAAGCGUACAUUUCAUUAUAAGAUGUAUGCAUAUACCUCAGUUCAAUGAUCAUUAUACUAAUUUCCACAUAGAAGUAAAGUUUUGCUAAUUUUACGUGGACUGAGAUUUUGUUCAGUCGAGAUCGAUUUCCGAAAGGUGCAAACUCUAGAAGUAGCAUCAAACAUUAUUUCUUACACUUGAGAAAGUCAAAGAUAUGUAGAAAAUGUUUCACAAGUGCCAAGCCAAACCUAAGUUAUGCUCAUGUCGUAAUCAAGUAGGAGUAUCCAGAGAAUGCAGAUUACAUAGCAAGGGCAAAGUUCAAAAAAGCGCUAGGCGCUAAUUAUGCGUUUGGGCACCUACUUGCGCUUUUCUAGCUUAGGCGUGAUUAGGCGAAAUUAGGCGCAAUUAGGCGUUAGUACUGUAACGUGAAGAAAUAAGAUAGAUAGGCAAAACAUAGAAGGACAAAAAUAAGAUAGCUUAUUUGAAUGAUAGGGAGAUCACAUCUCAAACAAAAUAAGAUAGCUUACUUGAAAGACUGGGAGAUCCUUUUAUCCCAAAUAAAUCACCUCUCCGCUGAUGGCUAGAAUCUCGCUUCACAAUCCAACAAUCUAAAAUUAUCACGGAGGCUGGCGGCUAGGAAGAAGGGAUGAUCGCCAGCCAAGACGGAUGGAGAUAGAGCUGAAUGUGCAGUGGCGCCAUGGAUCGAACUACCACCCCUUGUUGAAUGGACACCAUCUUGUACCUUCACCUGUCGAUCCGAGAGCUCUGCAUGAGAAGGAACAAUAGGUCAGAUGAGACUAUAUGGACGCGUGUGGAGUAAAUAAAGAGCACCAAUGGAUGUGCCUGCAAUUAUCCGUCGCCGGCAAGUGGCACACGUCGAUCAGUUGCCGUUAAAAUCUUUUAACAUCGGUUAUUUACCUCCUUGAUUUCCUGCAACUAAUCGCUGCUCAUGCGGUGACCCUCUCGCCUGUAUCGAAUGGAAAAGGCAUAGAAUCGCCAGGCCAGCGAGGCAUACAUGGAACAGUUGUCCCAUACGCCUAAAUAACAGACUGCGGAUUUUGUUAUGUGAGCAUCGGCCCAGCUUGUAUAGCACUCGGUGUUCAGCACCAAAGCCCACACAGGAUUGGAAGUACUCCCUCCAUUUCUAAAUAUAAGUCUUUUUAGAUAUUUCAAUAAGGAUUGGAUGCGAAGGUAUAUAGAUGUAUGUUAGAGCAUACAUUCAUUCAUUUUACUCCGUAUGUAGUCCAUAUUGGAAUUUCUAAAAAGACUUAUAUCAUGGGAUGGAGGGAGUACAUCCAAGGGUUAGAAACGUAUAGAAGUUAAGAUAGAAUGGCUGAACACGUUGACAACCUGAGAUUAAAUAGAUUAAGCAAGGUUUAUGCGAGAGGAAAUUAUUUGUAUACCUCGGAGAAGCUGCUGCAGUAUCAUUUCAAUUUGGGUAAAUGGGAAACAAAUUCAGUUUCUGUUGGGUUGUAAUUCUUGUGGCACUUUAUGAUAAGACGAACAACCUCUUGUCUGAUGCCACCUCUAAAACAAAAAUAGUUAUGCAAUUAGUCCAGGGCGUUUCUGCAGGGAUGAGUUGGGUAAGAAAUCACAUGAACUCAACAGAACUUGAAGGUUUCCCACGCACAAGUGCUCACUGUCGAUUGACUCCAUGAUAAGAUGAUAAGACCUGACAACGGCUGCUCUGAAAAUGUAAGCACAUUCAGUUGCCUCCUAGUCAUUUUUAGUCCUAAACUACAAAAGAAAACGAAAAUAAGAUUGCACUCAACUUUGACAACUUCAGGUUCAGAUUUCUUGAAAGUUAUUGAUCAUCUUCUGUUGCCAUCCACAUAUAAGGCCCCGCUUGGAUUGUCGGUUGCCUCCCAAAUACCUCCGUAAUCGAUACAGACCUCCAUCCCUCGUUUCUAUUCCAGACGGAAAAUACACUGCAGCUGGUUAUUUACACCUGUAAAUUAAAUCCGGGCGUAUAAA
rnacentral:lncRNA from 1 species